AGUUAAUUUCAUGUAAAAGCUCCACCGAAUGUCCAUUUCGGUCCCUCUGGAAUUCGCUGCUCCAAAAAGCGAAAAACCAUGUCAUCGUCUUCUUCAAUCUCGUCGUCGGUCCGUUUAUUCACAGCCAGAAUACCCACUUCUCUCUUCACCACCAAAACCCUCUCGGCCUCACCAACGCCAAAGAAUCCCUCUUUCUUCAGACCCAUCUCAUUCCAACGAAUCCCAGCCAGUAAACCACCACCAACAGCAGCAUCACCAUCACCAUCAACAUCGAGCUCCAUAUCCCUGCAACCCAUUGAAGAACUCCCUCCAAAGCUUCAAGAAAUCGUCAAGCUCUUCCAGUCCGUACAGGAACCCAAGGCCAAGUACGAGCAGCUCUUGUUCUACGGCAAGAACCUCAAAACCCUCGAUUCCCAAUACAAAACCAAGCAGAACAAGGUCGAGGGCUGUGUCUCUCAGGUCUGGGUCAGAUCCUAUCUCGAUUCCGAUAGAAACGUCGUCUUCGAGGCCGAUUCUGACUCGGUGCUGACGAAGGGACUCGCUGCGCUGCUCGUCAAUGGACUCUCUGGCCUGCCAGUCGAGGAGGUUCUUCGCGUCUCGCCUGAUUUCGUCGUGCUUCUUGGGCUUCAGCAGAGCUUGACGCCUUCGAGGAACAAUGGGUUUUUGAAUAUGUUGAAGUUGAUGCAGAAGAAAGCGCUUCAAUUGCUCGUGGAAGCUGAAAGUGGAACAGAGGGAGUGGAAAGUCCGAAUCCUGGGUUGAAUUCCGCGAGACCCAAUUCGGGUUCGGAAACUAAUAACAAUGUGGGAAGUUCGAAUUUUGGAUUGAAUUCUGAGUUGGGUGUUGAAGAGAAAUCGAAUGUCGAAUCCAAAACCCAAGGUGGGUCGAAUUUGGGUGAUUUGGGAAGCAGAGGGAAGAGAAUUAAGGAGAUACUGGAAAAAGAGCUUAGGCCUAUUGAAUUGCAAGUGGAAGAUAUAUCAUAUCAGCAUGCUGGGCAUGCUGGGGUUAGAGGAACUGAUGGGGAAACACAUUUCACUUUGAAAGUUGUGUCGAAGGAAUUUGAAGGAAAGAGUUCGGUGAAGAGGCAUAGGCUUAUUUACGGUUUAUUGCAAGAAGAGUUGCAGAGUGGGUUACAUGCAUUGUCAAUAGUGGCAAAGACACCAUCUGAAGUUUAGUUAGUGGUUCAUUACAAAAGAGGUUCACAUUUUCUUUUUUUUUUCCUUUCUUCAAGGGGAAAAAAAAAAAAAAGGAAAAGAAAAAGGUCACUUUUAUUUCAUGUUAAAGAGUGUCAAUAAGCUGAGUGUUUGUAAAUGAAAAAAACUUGUUCAAAGGGCAGAGGACAGGUUGGAGCUCAAGACAGAUCAAGAUACAAUGACAGAACCAGAAAAUGUGCAGUAAUUUAUCAAAUGGCAAGACUAGUUGUUUAGAUUUUGUUUCAGAAGUUUUAAAACAGAUGUUUAUUUUGGUUAUAUGGUUGUGGCCAAGUCUGCUUAUGGUUGAAACUUUUAAUCAUUAAGUUUGAUGUGCCUAUCUGUUGUAAUCAUGAACUCAUCACAAAAAUUUCAGAUUACAAGAUACUGGAAAUUCCGAUAUGAUGAUAUUUUGGA